rnacentral:lncRNA from 1 species
CUGGGGGCAACAUAACCAAAAUAAUAGCAAUGAGGAUUUCCAGCAACCACUGUUUGACUUGCACUGAUUUGACACCAGAGAGUGCUGCCUACUAAAAUAUUAUAUACAAGGUCUGUUUAAUCUUAUAGAUAGAUAGUAUGGACAGAGAAGACCUGAUCCUAGAUCUGCAUUCCUACUGAGACGCUUUAUGAAUACAAGCCCUGAUGUGCUAUUACUGUUAUGUGCCUACUCCCCACUGGCUGAUGUGCUCCACAUCUCUCUGUCCUGGUAUGACCUACGGUACGCCUCACAUGAUAACGUCUUGGCAGCAAGACCCGUUUCCCUCUCUUCUCUGCAGUCACUUACUAAAGGGCAGGAGCACUGUAAAGCAAUGGAGAUCACAACACAGCAGUUCCCUUAACAGAACAAGUAGUGUUAUUUUGAAUGGUGCUCAGACUUUGUAGCAGUGGAGGGCCCAGAUGGCAGCAACAUGUUAGCUUGAGAGGAACGUCGGUCAGAAAAGUACCAGUUCCUUUAGAGUGUCCAUAGAGGGCACUCAUGUCCUUACUGGAGGUAGAGGUGAUGUUGGAUGGGAGGGAGAGAAGAGAAGAGAAGAGAAGAGAAGAGAAGAGAAGAGAAGAGAAGAGAAGAGAAGAGAAGAGAAAGUGGAAGAGAAGAGAAGAGAAGAGAAGAGAAGAGAAGAGAAGAGAAGAGAAGAGAAGAGAAGAGAAGAGAAGAGAAGAGAAGAGAAGAGAAAGUGG